AGGUGACCUGCGGAAGGAUCAUUACGAAAUUCGGCGCGCUUCGGCGCUGCCUUAUUCACCCACCCUUUGUCUACGUGUACCUUCAUAGCUUCCUCGGCGGGCUCGCCCGCCGCCAGGAACCCACGAAACCCCUUGCAUUAUACACGAAAACUUCUGAUAACAAACCUAAAUUAUUACAACUUUCAACAAUGGAUCUCUUGGUUCUGGCAUCGAUGAAGAACGCAGCGAAAUGCGAUAAGUAGUGUGAAUUGCAGAAUUCAGUGAAUCAUCGAAUCUUUGAACGCACAUUGCGGCCAUAGGGUAUUCCUUUGGCCAUGCCUGUUCGAGCGUCAUUUACACCCUCAAGCCUAGCUUGGUGUUGGGCGUCUGUCCCGCCGUCUUCGCGCGCGGACUCGCCUCAAAGUCAUUGGCGGCGGUCGUGCCGGCCCCUCGCGCAGCACAUUUGCGCUUCUCGGCGGCCCGGCGGAUCCGCGCUCCAGCAAAGACCUUUCAUGACUUGACCUCGGAUCAGGUAGGGAUACCCGCUGAACUUAAGCAUAUCAAUAAGCGGAGGA
rnacentral:rRNA from 1 species